rnacentral:rRNA from 1 species
GUGCCAGCAGCCGCGGUAAUACGGAAGGUCCGGGCGUUAUCCGGAUUUAUUGGGUUUAAAGGGAGCGCAGGCUGAUUGCUAAGCGUGACGUGAAAUGUAGCCGCUCAACGGCUGAACUGCGUCGCGAACUGGUGGUCUUGAGUGAGUACGACGUCAGCGGAAUUCGUGGUGUAGCGGUGAAAUGCUUAGAUAUCACGAAGAACCCCGAUUGCGAAGGCAGCUGACGAGUCCUUUACUGACGCUAAAGCUCGAAGGUGCGGGUAUCGAACAGGAUUAGAUACCCUGGUAGUCCGCACGGUAAACGAUGGAUGCCCGCUGUUGGCGAUACAGUGUCAGCGGCCAAGCGAAAGCGUUAAGCAUCCCACCUGGGGAGUACGCCGGCAACGGUGAAACUCAAAGGAAUUGACGGGGGCCCGCACAAGCGGAGGAACAUGUGGUUUAAUUCGAUGAUACGCGAGGAACCUUACCCGGGCUUGAACUGCAGCAGAACGAUUCAGAGAUGAUGAGGUCCUUCGGGACUGCUGUGGAGGUGCUGCAUGGUUGUCGUCAGCUCGUGCCGUGAGGUGUCGGCUUAAGUGCCAUAACGAGCGCAACCCUUUUCUUCAGUUGCCAUCAGGUGAUGCUGGGCACUCUGGAGACACUGCCACCGUAAGGUGUGAGGAAGGUGGGGAUGACGUCAAAUCAGCACGGCCCUUACGUCCGGGGCUACACACGUGUUACAAUGGGGAGUACAGAGAGUCGAGUGCCGGCAACGUCACUCCAAUCGUGAAAGCUCUCCUCAGUUCGGAUUGGGGUCUGCAACCCGACCCCAUGAAGCUGGAUUCGCUAGUAAUCGCGCAUCAGCCAUGGCGCGGUGAAUACGUUCCCGGGCCUUGUACACACCGCCCGU